rnacentral:rRNA from 1 species
GACGAACGCUGGCGGCGUGCUUAACACAUGCAAGUCGAACGGAAAGACCCUGCUUUUGUGGGGUGCUCGAGUGGCGAACGGGUGAGUAACACGUGAGUAACCUGCCCUUGACUUUGGGAUAACUUCAGGAAACUGGGGCUAAUACCGGAUAGGAACUCCUGCUGCAUGGUGGGGGUUGGAAAGUUUCGGCGGUUGGGGAUGGACUCGCGGCUUAUCAGCUUGUUGGUGGGGUAGUGGCUUACCAAGGCUUUGACGGGUAGCCGGCCUGAGAGGGUGACCGGCCACAUUGGGACUGAGAUACGGCCCAGACUCCUACGGGAGGCAGCAGUGGGGAAUAUUGCACAAUGGGCGGAAGCCUGAUGCAGCAACGCCGCGUGCGGGAUGACGGCCUUCGGGUUGUAAACCGCUUUCGCCUGUGACGAAGCGUGAGUGACGGUAAUGGGUAAAGAAGCACCGGCUAACUACGUG